CCUGCCUGAGUCCCUCUGUGGAUCUGAUCCUCUGCAGUAACCCUGCAGGGCUGAUACCCAAACCACCUCCCUGCUCUGUGACUCAGUUCCCCACCGAACAGAGGAGCUGAUAAUCUCGGGAUCUUUGGGAGGAGGAUUUUACCGUUCUGAAGGUUAAAAAGAGGCAAGCAGCUGUUCCCAUGCCUCAGCAGCACAAACACCUCGAGCCUUCGAACGAGAGGAAUCAGUGGGACAGCGGCGAGGGAGCGCUUGGGCUGCUGCCAAAAGGAUUCCGGCAGCGAGCCCGGCUCGGAGCCGCUGAUCUGGGGAAUCUCUGGAGCCUUUCGCAAGGCGAGUGUCACAGACAGGUACCCUGGGACACGGAAAGGGGAAGAGCAUUUGCCUGGGCAGGAAGGCUGCGUCAGUGCCAGGAAUAGCAGCCCGGUGUCCCGUGACCCAGCUGUGCUGCUCAGAAAUGAGAUAAAGCUGUCGCUGCCAGCCUGGGGACAGCGCUGGGGACAGCGCCACAGCCCCGCAGCCAGCCCUGCAGCGCUGCCCGGGGCUGAGCGGGGUUCUCCAGCACGGGGAAAAGGCUCCCAGCCCUCCCUCCAUGAGAAAAACAUCUCUUGGUGUUUUCUGUACGAGCAGAAUGAUCGCGGAGCUGCUGGAGCUGUCCCCGCGGUGCAGCGGCCGCCCCGCGCUCCGAGCGCGUCUCACACUUUCCCCGCAGCCUUCUCGCUUUCUGGGGUGUAAGACUUCGAGCCUUGGACAACAGCAAAACCACUCAAUUAUGUUUUCACCCUGCCUGCCUUGAAAAGCCCGGAGUGUGCCCGGUGCGACCACAGCCAAGGGAACGCAGGAGCCCAGGAUAAAUUCCAAACAAAAGAGCCAUUAUCCAUAUGGGACCUCGUGAGUGCUUCACAUACUCCAGCAAUUCCGAGCACUCCGUGUAUGGUUCUUACUCGGUUUUAACUCGAUUUCUUUGAUAUGCAAAUCAGAGGGAUUAUAUUCAGAGGCUGCACCAGAAAGUCUUUAAUCCAAAUGGGCUAUAAGAUUUAUUUAGAAGAGCCAAAUGUCUUGUCUGGGACAGAAGCAACUGAGCUGAACUGAAACAGAUGGACAUAAAGGAAAUUAAGCAACUCUAAUGGUCUUAUCCAGAGUUUGAAAGUAUUUGGUCUUCCUAAAGCUUGAGUUCCUGGAAGCACGUGAUGAGACGGGAAGCUCAGGUUUCACUUAAAAACAGGCUUUGCAGUUCACUGAGAAAAACAAUAACCAUGUUUUUAUUCCUCCCGUGGACAGAACGAGGGCUGCCUUCCAAAUCCUGACUCCUUGGGCUUAUAUCAUCAGGGGACAAGAUACUGAAUGGGAGUUUUGGAGUCCUCAUUUUUACAGCCCUGUCAUUUCAGCAGCCUGCAUUCAGGAUUUUGGGAAACCUGAUGCUGGCAAUAGGGAUCCCAGGUAGUUUGUUUACUGAAACAGGGAAAAUCCAUCCCUUGAGUCUGCUGUUUGUCCCUUGAAAUGUUCUGCUGUUUCUGGUGGUGAUUUUUAGAUCUCACCUACCUGAGGCUGGGGUUUAACCAGGACACCAGCACUGCCAAGGUCACCUCCAGCAGUUGUGGAUGCAGCAAACCCAGAGUGCACAUCUUGGAUGCUGAUAAACCAGUGGGCUGGAAACCUGGAGAGCUCGGGCUGUCCCCCAGGAUCUCACAUGUCUCCACCUCUGCUGAGGUCAGGAGAUUUUCAGUCGGCAGAAGAGCCUUCCCUGGAAUGUUUGGAUGUGUUUGGCUCUGGAUAGUCUGCACAGACAGCAGAACAGAUAUGAGGACACAUCCCCUGCCAUCCCAUCAGGGCAUUUCUGAUGCUAAAGAUGCAUCAGAUGCAUAAAAAUCUCUUGUGGAGAAAAGUUGAGGUGAGUUGGUUCUACCACCUACAGCUUUUAGGUGCUAAAUAAUAAGGCUGAAUUCUUUUUGCUUCCUGAGGCUCUUGACCACUGCCCAGUGGUCAAGGAGAUCCCAUGGACAGUCUCAACCAGGGAAAUGCUGUUGCAGCUGAAACUCCGUAUAAAAACUGGGAAAAGUCCUUCUAUUCUCAACCCAAAGCCAUCCCCUGCUUGGGUCUCCCAGGGAAGCAUCCAAAGCAGGGACAUUUCAUGUGUUUGUGCAUUUGCCAUCCUUCACUCCAGUGCCUUUGCAAGUGGAUUAAAUAAAAGGUGAGAGAAUUGGGGACAAGGGGAGGGGAGGGAGUGUGAGAAGGAGCUCAUCCAUUACUAUGCCCUGCACAAUGCAGGAGGUCUUGGCCUCCUGGUUUGAGUGCUUAUUCCCCAUAAAAUACAUCUGAGAGAAAUCAAUACAAGAAGCAUGCCAGAACUUAAAUCAAAGCACAAGGAAGCAGCGCUUGGCGGAUGGAACGACCUUGCAGAGAGCUGUCCAAACCGAGGCCCCAGCCCUGGUGAGCACAGAACCUGCCAGGAAAAAACCCUGGAAUGAGGACUUGAGGCUGGCAUGUGCUGCCUUGGCAUGGCUUUCACUCUGAUGUCCGCAGUGGAAAGCACAUGGAUGAGAGACGUUGGUUGUGAGCUGGAUAAACGGCACGAGGGCAAAGUGCCAGGAGGCUCCUGGGGCAGCCAGGAGAGCUGACGUGCUCUGUGCUGCCCCUUUGGGCUCCUCAAGUACCUCAGAGAUAACGAGGCAGGGGUGGAAGCCAGCUUGGAGACACAGAAAAUGCUCCCCACAACCUUGGUCCCUGGGGUCCCAGAGCAGGCACCCAGCUCCACCAGCUCCACGUCCUGCUGAGCUCAGCAGAGGAUGGAGGGCAGUGUCCAGCAUCCAGGUCCUGCCUCCCUCUGGGAUCUGCCAGCUCCCCAGGCAGGUGCCUGACCUUGGUGGCAGGUCACAGCACCAUACCACAGACAUCAUAAAUCUGCAAAAGUUUGCUGCAGCCAGGCUCCACCUCUGCAGACGGCGGGGCACUUGUUCCCAUGCUGGGAAAUCUGACCCCUCGGUAGCCUGAGAGACAGGAGAAGCCUGGGUUUGGUGUUUUGAAUAAGUGGCUUUUUAUCUGAAAUCCCUUUGGGAGCAUGAGCUCAGUAACCAAUGAAAUUAUAUCUGUUGUUUCAAGCAGUGAAGAAAACUUGGCUUGAUGUUUAUUGAGAUUUAUGGCUUCCCUUGAGCUUAAUUGUCUUUGGGAGCCCUGGAUCUUUUUAACGGUUCAGCUAAGUGGUACUAAGAAGGAUGGUAAUGGUUUGAGCAGUCUGCCCCCUUAACAUAUCUCUUUCUCUCACACAAUUUGCUGAUAUUUGGGAAAUACAGCUGAUACCCUUCCCUCCUGA